ACUGAUUUGGCAGAAUUAAGUGCAUUAAAUUUAGAAUUUAAUAAUGUUUUAUGACAAUUAGUA
rnacentral:tRNA from 1 species